CUUAGCGGGCAAUUCUCCUAUAAUUGGUUACUUUUGAUGUCUUUAGCCAGUGGGCCUAGAUGCUAUUGGGUAUGGGACACCCCAGAGUGUGGACGGAAAUAGACUCUUGGAACUGCAUUAAACCCCAGACCUUUCAAAGCACCCAUAACUGUGGGACAGUAGAGAGGAGGAGAGGCUCCAUUGCUCUUCGGUUUUCCCCCAGUUGUCAUGUUACCUCAAUAAAGUUUCUCCUCAAUA
ensembl:bidirectional_promoter_lncRNA Gm31510 predicted gene, 31510